rnacentral:rRNA from 1 species
CCUACGGGUGGCUGCAGUGGGGAAUAUUGCACAAUGGGCGCAAGCCUGAUGCAGCCAUGCCGCGUGUGUGAAGAAGGCCUUCGGGUUGUAAAGCACUUUCAGCGGGGAGGAAGGCGUUAAGGUUAAUAACCUUGGCGAUUGACGUUACCCGCAGAAGAAGCACCGGCUAACUCCGUGCCAGCAGCCGCGGUAAUACGGAGGGUGCAAGCGUUAAUCGGAAUUACUGGGCGUAAAGCGCACGCAGGCGGUCUGUCAAGUCGGAUGUGAAAUCCCCGGGCUCAACCUGGGAACUGCAUUCGAAACUGGCAGGGUAGAGUCUUGUAGAGGGGGGUAGAAUUCCAGGUGUAGCGGUGAAAUGCGUAGAGAUCUGGAGGAAUACCAGUGGCGAAGGCGGCCCCCUGGACAAAGACUGACGCUCAGGUGCGAAAGCGUGGGGAGCAAACAGGAUUAGAUACCCUUGUAGUC